AAAUCUCGUGCCAGCCACCGCGGUUAGACGAGAGGCCCUAGUUGAUAUUAUAACGGCGUAAAGGGUGGUUAGGAAUAAAUAAAGAAUAAAGCCAAAUGGCCCCUUGGCCGUCAUACGCUUCUAGGCGUCCGAAGCCCUACAUACGAAAGUAGCUUUAAUUAACCCGCCCGACCCCACGAAAGCUAAGAAACAAACUGGGAUUAGAUACCCCACUAUGCUUAGCCGUAAACUUAGACAUCCAACUACAAUAAGAUGUCCGCCAGGGUACUACGAGCACUAGCUUAAAACCCAAAGGACCUGACGGUGUCUCAGAUCCACCUAGAGGAGCCUGUUCUAGAACCGAUAACCCCCGUUCAACCUCACCACUUCUAGCCAUCCCAGCCUAUAUACCGCCGUCGUCAGCUUACCCUGUGAAGGUAAUAAAAGUAAGCAAAAUGAGUACAACCCAGAACGUCAGGUCGAGGUGUAGCGCAUGAAGUGGAAAGAAAUGGGCUACAUUUUCUACCUAUAGAAUACCACGAAUAUGCACCAUGAAACAGUGCUUAAAGGAGGAUUUAGCAGUAAAAGGGAAAUAGAGUGUCCCUUUGAAUCCGGCUCUGAGACGCGUACACACCGCCCGUC
rnacentral:rRNA from 1 species